UCCGUGUUCAGUGGUGGAGAAUGAUGGCCUCCAUGCAUCGAGUUGAUGCUGUAGGGAUCUUCAAACGGAUCACAGAACUAGGCUGUGUUGUGCGAAGAAGCUACUCGGUGCGAGGCCCUCUCUCCCUGGUCCACAUAGACACAAAUCACAAGCUAAUAAGGUACAAUGUUGUGAUCUUUGGUGGAGUGGAUGGCUACUCAAGGAAGGUCCUGUACUUGGAUGCAGCAACUAACAACAGGGC